rnacentral:lncRNA from 1 species
UCUCUAAUAGGUUGGUUUGCCACAUUAAGAUCCACACUUCUCUGUGAUGGUUCAGCUAGCUGUGUAUCUUGCCAUUGCUGGUUUGCCACAUUAAGAUCCACACUUCUCUGCGAUGGAGCUAAUUGUGAAUCUUGCCAUUGCUGGUUUACCACAUUAAGAUCCACACUUCUCUGUGAUGGAGCUAGGUGUGAAUCUUGCCAUUGCUGGUUUACCACAUUAAGAUCCACACUUCUCUGUGAUGGAGCUAGCUGUGAUUCUUGCCAUUGCUGAUUUUCCACAUUAAGAUCCACACUUCUCUGUGAUGGAGCUGGUUGUGAAUGUUGCUUUUCCACAUUAAGAUCCACACUUCCCUGUGAUGGAGCUGGUUGUGAAUAUUGCCGUUGCCGGUUUUCCACAUUCAGAUCCACACUUCCCCGUGAUGGAGCUGGUUGUGAAUAUGGAGCUAGUUGUGAAUAUUGCCAUUGCUGGUUUUCCACAUUAAGAUCCACACUUUUCCGUGAUGGAGCUAGUUGUGCAUAUUGCCAUUGCUGGUUUUCCACAUUAAGAUCCACACUUCUCUGUGAUGGAGCUAGUUGUGAAUAUUGCCAUUGCUGGUUUUCCACAUUAAGAUCCACACUUCUCCACGAUGGCUCAGCUAGUUGUGAAUCUUGCCACUGCCUGUUCUCAUAGUCUCGUUUCUCACUUACCUGUUCUAUGGUAGACCUUUCAGAAACAUACUGGUCCUCCACAGGGAAUACCAUUCUUC